rnacentral:rRNA from 1 species
CCUACGGGAGGCAGCAGUGAGGAAUUUUGGACAAUGGGGGCAACCCUGAUCCAGCCAUGCCGCGUGAACGAUGAAGGCCUUAGGGUUGUAAAGUUCUUUCAGCUGGGAAGAUAAUGACGGUACCAGCAGAAGAAGCCCCGGCUAACU